CGCCGAGUCAUUACUCUAACCCGUAAGGGAGGAGGGUGCCGAAGGCGGGGUUGAUGACUGGGGUGAAGUCGUAACAAGGUAGCCGUACCGGAAGGUGUGGCUGGAUCACCUCCUUU
rnacentral:rRNA from 1 species